CGGUUUCUCCCCUUUUUUCAAAUUUAUCCUACACACCUUUAGUUUACCACACACUUCACCUUAUUUGACAAUACUCCACUAAAAAAUAAAAAUAACAACUUCAUAACAAAUUUUUCCUAACUCCUUAAUCACGUUUUUUUUCAUUGAUAACCGACUAACAAUACAACACACCCACGAGAACACACAUAUUACAUACACACAUCUACUACCAUAAUGGGGGGAGUGAAGAAAAAUGAGUGAAAAUAGUGAGAGAUCAGGGAAAAAAAGUGAAGGCGAGAGAGAUCAAAAUGCGCAAGAGAAGAAACCAGCGAAGAGAGGAAAAUGAGGAGAGGAGCGGUGGAGAAACAUUUUUUUCUGGCGAGAAUCCACUGCCACCGGAAAUUUGACCCGUUCUAUGAUUCUCAUCACCGCAUGAGCUCAGCGAAGCUCCGUUGAAACAAAGGUGAGAAAGAUCAAAACGCGCGAGAGAAGAAGCUGGCGAAGAGAGGAAAACAAGGAGAGGAGCGUCAGAGAAAUAUAUUUUUCCCAGCGACAAUCCACUGUCAUCAAAAAUUUGAUCCGUUCUCUAAUUCUCAUCACCGCAUGAGCUCAAUGAAACUCUGUCGAAACGAAGGCGAGAGAGAUCAAAACGUGUGAGAGAAGAAGCCGGCAAAGAGAGGAAAACGAGGAGAGGAGCGUUGGAGAAACAUUUUUUUCCUGGUGAGAAUCCAUUGCCACCAGAAAUUUGACCCGUUCUCUAAUUCUCAUCACCCCAUGAGCUCGACAGAGCUCAUCAAAAUGAAGAUGAGAGAGAUCAAAAUGCGCGAGAGAAGAAACCAGCAAAGAAAGGAAAACAAGGAAAGGAGCGGUGGAGAAAUAUUUUUUUUUCGGCGAGAAUCCAUUGCCACCAAAAAUUUGACCCGUUCUCUGAUUCUCAUCACCGCAUGAGCUCGACGGAGCUCAAUUGAAACUAACGCGAGAGAGAUCAAAACGUGCGAGAGAAGAAACCGACGAAGAGAGAAAAAUAAGGAGGGAGCGGCGAAGAAACAUUUUUUUCCGGCGAGAAUUCAGUGCCACCGGAAAUUUGACUCAUUCUCUGAUUCUCAUCACCGCAUGAGAGCGAUGGAGUUCCGUUGAAACGAAGGCGAGAGAGAUCAAAAUGCGCGAGAGAAGAAACCGGCGAAAAGAGGCAAACGAGGAGAGGAGCGGCGGAGAAACAUUUUUUUCGACGAGAAUCCACUACCACUGAAAAUUUAACCCGUUCUGAUGCUCAUCAUCGUAUGAGCUCGACGGAGCUCUGUCGAAAUGAAGGCGAGAGAGAUCAAAACGCGCGAGAGAAAAAACCGACGAAGAGAGGAAAACGAGGAGAGGAGCGGCGGAGAAAUAUUUUUUUCCCGACGAGAAUCUACUGCCACUGAAAAUUUGACCCGUUCUCUGAUUCUCAUCACUUCAUGAGCUCGAUGGAGCUCCAUCGAAAUGAAGGAGAGGGAGAUCAAAACACGCGAGAGAAGAAAUCAGCGAAGAGAGGAAAAUGAGGAGAGGAACGACGGAGAAACAUUUUUUUUUCGGCAAGAAUCCACUGCCACCAUAAAUUUGACCCAUUCUCUGAUUCUCAUUACCGCAUGAGCUCGACGGAGUUCCGACGAAAUGAAAACAACAGUUCCCACUCUAAUCCGUUCCAAGAACCCACCAGAAAUUCCAAAAAUUCGAUCAAUCUUCUCUUCUCCAUCACCGCUUGAGCUCACCUCAGUGGCAAAACAAAAAACGCAAACCCAACUCCGAUUCCGGCGAGACCUCUUUAAGCUUAAUUCAAAAUUUGUGAUUUGGGGUUCGUAUUGAGAUUUUUCAGCUGGUUUAAGUCUGUUCGGGGUUAUGGUCCUCGAUACCAAAUUGGUUUGUUCGUCGUUGAGGUUUUUGUUCGAGGAUUUCGAGCUUAGGCUUCACUAACUCACUAUUAUCAAAAAUCAGUUCUGCUAAGGUCCGAUUCUUAAUUCUAUUUUAUUUUUAUGUUAUCUUAACAUGGUUGAUGAUGUGAUUUGGUGGUAUGUAUUGAGUGCACUUGAGCAAUGUUGAUUAUCGUGGCUUUGAAUGUUUGAUUUUAUCUUAAAAUUAAUUAAUUAGAUGAUUGAGAAAUAAAUUUAGGACCAAAAUUAAAAAUUGAUAAAAGUGAAUAUUGGUUUAUUUAAUUCAUUAACGGUUUUUUAAUUCAAAAUAAGCAUCGAUUUUGAUAAAUUCAAUAGUAUCAUGUUUAGAUCGAGAAUUGAUAGAAAAAUUUUAGGUUUGUGGGUAGGAAAAUCGUACGAUUCUACAUUAUCGAAUGUUGGAAUGCUUGUUUUAAAUGAUUUUACUAUUUUUAUCACAUUUUAUCAAAUAUAUUUAUUCAUCGGGGAAUGUCCCGAGAUUAUAUGUAUAUAUUUAUUAGGGAAUGUCUCGUGAAAUUCUAUAUUUGGAAGACAGUUCGUGGAAAUAAUCCAGAAUGUCGGGUGGACUUUGGAGCAUAACUUAGGAUUAGUGUAGGAUAAAAUAAGUUUUCAUUUUAGUACUUUUUCAUUUUUGGGCCUAUAUAAUUGAACUAAACAUUAUUUUUUUUUGGAAUUUUUCAUUUGUUUGUUUUCUUACGUGCUCUUCUGUGAAGUUUAUAAAUCCCAUAGUGUCAUAUUAGUCGAUAUAACUUGACAAAACAACCGUAAUCGAACCACAGAACUGAGGGGUGUCUAACAUCUUCCCAUUGGUAAAUAGAAUUCCUUAGCUGUAAUUUCUGUCUGUGGAUCAGUUUUAAGAGUCAACUCUUUUUUUUUUAAAGGAAAAAAGAAUUUAAAAGAUGACUUGAUACACAAAACAAUGUCAAGUGAUGACUCUGAGUUUAAUUGCAUUUUUUUUUGAAACAAAUUUUCUUUUGUUACUUUAAUAAUUAAAAACCUUUUCGAAUUUUAAAGGCAAAAUAAUUUUUUGAUAAAAAAGGGUGUCCCAGCUCUGGCACUCUAUUGGAAAUUUUUUGAGAAUUUGAGCUUCAUUGUUGCGUUGUGUCGACUUAGUUUGACAUUAUGAGAGUAUAGACAUGUUGUUUGUUUAUCGUUUUAUCAUUGUUGAGUGUCUACGUGCUAUGUGUUUAUUAUUUUUUUUUUAUGUGUUACCAUUUUAUAUCUGGCAUCAAAUGCAUUACCUUGAGUCAUUUCUUUCGCAACAAGUCCCGUAGUACAUGUUGUGUGCACAACCUUCGUUGAGUUACCUUUAUUUUAAAAGGGGGAGCUGUUGGUUGGUAUGGAGUGGGCGAAAAACAAUUGCAGGCUCCAUCGACUAUACGCUCCCCUGAAUAGCCUUGUUAAUUGAACCUCAACCUAGGUCGGUCUUUAAGUCAUUCUUAUUUGCAUCAUGAUUGAGACCUAGUGGGAUCCGUUUGGUCCUUUGUGGAAACUUGUUCCUAAACAUUCCUAUGUGCUACUUGUUGCAUCUUUGAGGCAAAAAAGUCAGUUGGCGGACUAAAUUAGGGAAUCAUGUUCUAAAAUUGAGGGAAUGAGUGUGUUUAGGCAAAGAAAGGUCAAAAGAAAAAAGAAGUCAAAUUUAGAGUCGAAAAAGAGAAGAAAAAAAAAGAGUUUCGUAGUUUAUAAGAGUUUUUUAUGGCUUUUAUAUUUCACAAUAAAAAAUUUAAAAAGAUUUUUCACCUUUUGCACGCAUUUUCUCAAAAAUCAAAACAUCAAGAAAAUUUUUUCUUUAUUUUCUUCAGCAUGCAUUUAUAACUCAAAAUUUAAAAAAAAAUUUGUUUAAUAGUUAUAUAUUUUUAUAGAAAAAAAAUUCAAAAAAAUGUUAGAAGUUUUAUACAUUCCAUAUAAUAAAAUGUCAAAAAGAUUUUUCUUUUAGUGUCUUCAUGUUUUUCUACGUCACAAGUUUCAAAAAUUAUUUUAUUUCUGUUGGUGUUUUAUUUCUAAACAAUUUCAUGCGAAAUAUUAAAAAAGAUUUUCCUUUCUUGUUUUGUUUUGUUUUGUUUUGUUGUUAUAUGAAGUUUCAAAUCAACAACUCAAAAAAAAAAAUUCAUUUGUAUGUUUUCUCAUUUGUUUUGGUCAUGCCUCAAGUCGGGUUUUGUUUGUGGCUUAAUCUUUAACUCUUUAAUUUGAAUGAACUACGUAUACCUGAUUUUCGUCCUUCGGGACGGGAUACGUAACCAACCCUUGGUGGGUUUAGUAAUCUUUUUUAAUUUGAUCAUUGUCUUAGUUUUAGUCUAGGGUCAUUUUCUUGCUUAGUCAAGUAUUGUUAGUUGGUCAUUGCCAAAUAGACUAAUUUCACUUAGCAGUACCAUUUGGUGAAUUAAAGUUAUAAAUCGGCAUGUUCCUUCGUGUCACGUGACACUUCUCUAUGUUAAAAUUUUGAAGGUCGGAAAUUCUUUCCCUUUUAUUGAAUUUUGAGUCAUGGUCCUACAUGUGUUAUUAUGGAAUGGAUUCAUUCACAAGAUCUAGAGUCUUGAUGGUUUCUAAGGUGCCCAAAAAGUAAAUCAAGUGGUGGGACAUGUUCAACUACUCUAAACGACACAAGUUAAAGAAGAAGUCAGGCACUCUUACAUCCUUCUUGUAUAUCGUGCCCUACUAGAUUUGAUCGAGAUUAUAUUGACUUUUUGGGACGAAUAGGUUGGUAUUUAGGUUCGGGAGUUGUAAAAUGAUGCCCACUCUGACAAAAAUAUCUGGUUUGUUUUAAUUGUCCUACAUCAAUAAAAAGAUGAUUCGAGUCUGGGUUCAUUCUCCCACGAGGUUUCUCCAUGACUAUAGAUUGAAGAUAAUAACCACCUGGGAUGCCUUAACUAAUUUUGGUUCUCCUUCGAUUACCCGUAUGCUCGAUUUGGGUCCCCAGAUGGUUUCGUUUGUUUUUAGGAUGAAUUUUAUAAAACUAAGAAGAAUUGGGAGGAAACGUCGUCUUGAAAUAUUCACCCUUGCUUUGUUAGGCACCUUAGUGUUUUCGUUAGAUGAAAGAUAUGUAAAUACUCAUUUGCAAUUUGUAGUUAUGGCCUUAUUUAAUAGAAACAAAGGGCAAAAAGUCACUACUGUACUUAUAAUUUUAGUUAAAAUAUAUAAGGCUUUGACUGAAGUAAAAGGAGGAUUUGUUUUUUUUAGGGAAGUAGCCUGGUAUUGCAAUUAUGGAUGAUGAAACAUUUGCACGCUCCUUUUUUGAUUAAAUUGGGUGUGGUCAAUCGUUGUUUUCCCGAUCGAGUGGAGGCCAUUGAACAAAGAAUGCGCUUUGAUAAAUUUUUAUUACCCGUGGGAGUCAAUGCUUGGAUUGAAUUUCUCGAAUCAAGAACUCAUGACAACAUUCUUUGAACCUAUUUGUGGCUCCAUUCGAAAAUAAUCUUAGUCAAAUGUCUCAUGCAACUUCUUCUAGUUUUGAUAGGGCUCAACUGCACUAGACCAUACACUCCGAGUAGGGUAAUGCACCAGUUGGAUUGGUUGCAAGACGUUCCACCAAUAAUGAAUUUUCAAAAGGAUGUUGAGUACUUUAGGGAUCAAGCCAUGGGUGAGAUCAAAUCUGAGCAGUUCUAGCGUAAUGCAACAAAACUUGGGUAUAGAUACUCUCAUAGAAGGUUUGGAUAAUCCUGCGUACACUCAGAGAUAUGUGAUCUGGCUACAAUCCAUACCUCAGGGUAUCGGUAGGCCAUUACCGGCGCAACUUAGAGGGCAGAUACUUGAAGCGUACAUAGUCAAUGACAAUGAAGAGAUAGGUGCAGGGGAUAAAGUUGAGUUGCUAAAAGUUUGGUUAUCAGGUUUGAUCACAACUGUAGAGCCACUAGAGAAAUUUGCUUGGGUGUACUCUCCAAGAGUUGGGGGCACGCGCUAGAGGCUUCCUCCCAAGUAUCAAAGUAUCAUUACGGGAUAUGUUACAAAGUUGGAAUUCAAGUGGCAGCGAGAACUUUACAGCCAGGGCCUUCACAGACAGAUCCAUCAUAGUCGGGGUCAUCACAUGGCGCAGCAGUUUGAAGGGGUAUUUCUAUCUUUUGCUUGGUUGGAGUCCUUUAUUUUUCUGUCAUUAUGUUUGACAUAGUGGUGUUAUGUCUUGGUGGGUCGGUAUCAAGUUUGAUUUAGUAUUAAUGUUACGUACAUUGUUUUGUCAGUCUAGAGUGUUUUUUAGUUUUUAUGUAUUGUUAUCAAAGUUGUCUUAGUUUUGGAGUCUAUUUUAGUUAUAUCUUCUAUGAAAAAAAAUCUCUGGUUAUGUUUCGUUGGUCUUUCUUUUUCACUUGUUCUUUGUUCUUAAGUUUUGAAGAAAAAAAACACUUUUGUUUCUGUGAUAUUUAUGCAUGCUUUCCGAACUACACAAGAUCUGAUUCUUGCACAACAUGAUACAUAGUCAACCUACUACUUGGUUUGAUCUAAUCAUUUUGUUUUUUUCGUUUUAUUUUUCUUUUCAGUUUUCCUCUUUUGAAGAAAGCAAAAGCCAGAAUGAAUGAUAAAAAAAAAGAAAAAUAGUGAGCGAAUAAAUCAAACAAAGAGUUAGAGAAGGAAAAGAGAUUGAUGAAAAGAAAAAGAAAAAAGAGCACGAAAACAGAGAAAAAUGAAAUGCAAGUGCGAUGUAAGAAGCAGUAAGUGUAAAAGCAAGUUGGGAUGAUGUCAAAAUAUCCGUAUUACCUUCAAGGCCAUGUAGAAAUGUAAAUGAAACUAGGUGCAUAACAUACAAUGUGAUUAGCAUGUCUGUUGUAUGACCUAAACUUAACGAGUUUUGUCUUUGAUGAGAAUGUUCUUUUAGAUAAAAAUGGUUGAUUUGUG
rnacentral:lncRNA from 1 species